rnacentral:rRNA from 1 species
GACGAACGCUGGCGGCGUGCUUAACACAUGCAAGUCGAACGGAAAGGCCCUGCUUUUGUGGGGUGCUCGAGUGGCGAACGGGUGAGUAACACGUGAGUAACCUGCCCUUGACUUUGGGAUAACUUCAGGAAACUGGGGCUAAUACUGGAUAGGAGCUCCUGCUGCAUGGUGGGGGUUGGAAAGUUUCGGCGGUUGGGGAUGGACUCGCGGCUUACCAGCUUGUUGGUGGGGUAGUGGCUUACCAAGGCUUUGACGGGUAGCCGGCCUGAGAGGGUGACCGGCCACAUUGGGACUGAGAUACGGCCCAGACUCCUACGGGAGACAGCAGUGGGGAAUAUUGCACAAUGGGCGGAAGCCUAAUGCAGCAACGCCGCGUGCGGGAUGACGGCCUUCGGGUUGUAAACCGCUUUCGCCUGUGAUGAAGCGUGAGUGACGGUAAUGGGUAAAGAAGCACCGGCUAACUACGUG